rnacentral:lncRNA from 1 species
AGUCCGAAUUCUGCCCGCCUUGCGCCCUGGUCUCGGUGGGGUGUGGGGCGCUGGCGCCGCGUCCCUGGUCUUUCAGGCAGGUCCGGGCAGCUCCUGGCUGGGUUGGCCCGACCUAGACUUGGCGCUGUAUCGCGGCUGGGCCUGUCGCAGCGAGGGGACGGCGAACGUGGCUUUCCCGGGCACAGCCUCUCCGGGUUUUAGCCGCGCCCGCCAGACACGGGACCUGCGGAAACCGGCGCUUAAGACGCCCAGCCACACGGCCUCUCAGCUGGCAGCAGAAGCUGGCAAUCCCUCGGGGGGGUGCCCUUCAAUGAGAUGCCAGCGGAGAGUGGGGGCUUUGGUCCCCACCUGGAAAGGCGGUUGGCGCGACGGGUGGAGUGGCUCGGGUGGCCGCGCCAAGGAAAGGAUCCUGGCUUUUUCUUUCCCCGCUGGGGGAGGGAUAAGGGGAGAACGUGUCCAAGCGGCCAGCAAUACCAGAAUUUGGGAAGAACCGGGUUCAACGCCGAAUUGAGAGAGACCGUCUGAUCGCGGGAGCUGCACCAGCCCGGUGUAGGGGGCCGAGCCUGCGCCAACAAAAGCGCGACAGGGGUGACGGCCGGGCUCAAGGUUGGCCUGUCCUUUGGUUUUAAAACAAAGACGGAGAAUUUUGUCAGUCGGGAGGCGUCCAGGGAGCGGAGGCCGGAGCCAGCGGCCUAGGAACACAGGGAAGGCCUCGGCUCCGGUGGCCCAGGCUGGCCGCGGAGAAGCACGCUGGGCCGGGCCUCGGCUAGCCAGGGCAGCUUCUCCCGCAGCUGCGGCUUAGGGCUACAAGGAAGACCCCCCCAGCCCCCAGCCGAUUUUCUACCCAGUCAAACACACACACACACAGACACGCGCGCGCGCGCGCGCACACACACACACACACACACACACACGCACUUUCACUCAAUUGCGUCCACAGUUUUUGGCCACCUAUCCCGCUGGGUAAACAAAAGUAUGAGGGGGUGGGGAGGGGGAGGGGAUGGAAUGGGGGUGGGGCGCGGAAGAUGGCGGCUGGACCUGGUGGCCUAUGGCCUGUGCCCUAUGGCCACAGCGCCCAGGCCUGGUUUUUACAUUUCAAUGUGGCCCGCCAUACUGGGGAGGGCGUUUCCCUGGACCCUGAAGCCUAGUUAGGGAUGUCCUAGAGGCUCCCCUUUACGAAUGGGGGCACCCGGGCUGCAGCCACUACUACUUCGCUUGGGAUCGGUCCUCCGCCCCAAGAUGGCUCCCAGUCGCUGUUUACUCAGCGACUGCAGGGACACCAGGGCGCGGGGCCGGGGAGCGGGCGAAGAUCACGGAGCGUACAGAUUGGCCCGGGCAGGUGGCCUCUCCGCGUGGCCCGCCCGCGCCCCCAAGCACGCGGCAGCCCUGGAAAACCGCGUGGGCAGGAUGCGUCCUGGCCGCCCCGCCUGGUGGCCAGGAACUGGGAGCCACCACCACCACCGCGUCCCCAGGCCCUGCUCCCCGGCCGGACUCCGGUGGCUGCAGGGCCGCGCAAAUAUGGAGUGGGUGCCGGGGGCAGGUAUGGAAGGGCCGGUGCAAGGGGGCUGGGCGCACAAAGCCCAGGCGGGGAGGGGACCUCCUCUGCCCCGAACCGCGGCCCUAAUGAAAUACCGGCUGGGUUCGUCACACCGCCGAGGCGCACACUUGAAAAAUGCAAACGCCAUUGGCAAAUCCAGGGCAAACAGGCAGAAUUUUUAUUAGCAACUAAAUGAUUUAUGGCACACGUACCCCGCCGUCACAAUUACGGCGUCUCGGAGCAUCCAGGGGGUGAAAACAUUAAACAUUUAUAAAAAUA